UUAUUCAACAUAAUGAAAGUGCAUAAUAUGUAAUCCACCAUAUUGAUUUUCUCCACCUUGAACCACACAAAUAAAAAAUCUGACUGAAAGUGAACAAUUUUUUUUUUAAAGACAAAAAGAUUGUAUUGACACAUGUACAAUAAUAUCAAUGGUUGAUGGGAUUUUAUAAAUUUUGGUUACACCCUAAUUACUUGAGACCAAUUAUCUUGUAUCAUAAAAUAUUCCUUAAAAAUAAAUUAUACAAAAAUUU
rnacentral:lncRNA from 1 species